rnacentral:rRNA from 1 species
GACGAACCGUGCGAACGUUGUUCGGAAUCACUGGGCUUAAAGGGCGCGUAGGCGGGUUGCCAAGUCCGGGGUGAAAGCCUCCAGCUUAACUGGAGAAGUGCCUUGGAUACUGGUGAUCUCGAGGGAGGUAGGGGCAUGUGGAACUUCCGGUGGAGCGGUGAAAUGCGUAGAUAUCGGGAGGAACACCCGUAGCGAAGGCGGCACUCUGGGCCGUGACUGACGCUGAGGAGCGAAAGCGUGGGGAGCAAACAGG